rnacentral:lncRNA from 1 species
AUGAAGGGUGCUGGUUGGUUUGAAUUAUUAUCCUGUUUUAGAUGGUUUUCCUUCCCCAAUCUAAAGUUAGAGGAGGAAAAUGGCCUGUCCCUUGAUUGGGAAGAUCCAAGGAAACAUUUCAGCGAUGAAAGCAAUCUUGAGAAGUGGAACAACAGACGGAAAAGAGGAAACAAAGGCAGACAGAUAAAGACUUGGAAAGACCUGCCAGUCAGACAAGCAGCCCACGGGAAGCCUGUGCACAUCCAUGUCAGGUCCGAAGAGACUUCUGUUUCACCAGCCUACCACUUACUUUCAUGCUAUCGAAGUACUGCUGGACUUGCAACAACUAUUGCUAACAUGUUCUUGAAUUAA